UGACCGAUUUUGCUUUUAUCAGCAAAGAAAAAUAGGCCAGACGGACAGCCGGGUCAAAUGCCGA
rnacentral:sRNA from 12 species